rnacentral:lncRNA from 1 species
CCGGGUGCCAGCAGCAGUUCAGCUCUUUCUCCCAUCCUUUGCUCAAGGCCUAGGAGGACAGCAGCUAUCCCCACUUGCCACACUGUGGCUGGGCUCCUGUGCUCACUGCUGUGCCACUGAAGAGCUCAGUGAAGCAUAGGAUGUGACGGUGGAUUUCCAACUGCUUUAACUGACAUCUUGUGUCUGGGACCUCAGCUGUAAGCCCUGAAUACCGCGGGCUAGAAUCUUCUGAAGGUUUGCCCAUUCACAUGUCUGGUGGUAGAUGCUGGCUGUUGACCGAGGGCAUCGGCCCCUCCCCAUGUGGCCUCCGCGCUUGGACUGGUUUGGACUUCAUCGCUGCAUGGUGGCUGGAUUCCGAAAAUGUUGACACUGCCAUCUUUUCUAACUUCCGCUGCUUCUCCAGGCGGCCAUGGCCAUCUCAUUAGACAGCAGAUGUAAAGUAUUUGGAAAAAGGCAUCAUGCAAAGGUAAAGUUCAUUGUCAUUCAUCGUUUUCCUUCCCAAAUAACUAGACUUCUUAAAAACAGUAAAGCAAAAUGAAGCUGAGCUGUUUGCUUGUCUACCCUGACA